CCAGUGGGUUGUAACAAGUCCUGCCCUGUCCUGUUCAGGCUUGGGCUCCCAAGAAGAUAGAAGCUGUUUUACUUGGUUAUCCUCAUUUCUGGCCAGGAAAGCUCACUGAGGGCUGAGUACUAUGAAAAGUAUUGUAUUUAGAGUUAAAGGAAGGUAACUAUUUUUUUUUCCUACUGAGGACUGUCUAUUUGAGGGGUAAUAUUUGGGGCCACAUGUCAAUGAAAAGUGUUAAUGAAUCAAAUCAUGGGUAAACAACACGCACUGAUGAAACAUACCUUACGAUUUCCAUCUUGCCUCCCACAAUCUUGAUACCGCAUUUUCCUGUUGAGCUGCAAAACACUUUUUUCAGAAUGACUUAAAUUAGAAACAUGGGCCAACUGAAAGGAAGUGAAAUGAAAGACAAGAAAAUGCUAUAAAUUGCAAUCGAGACUCACCAGGCAAUUGGGGCCCACUUUGAAAUCCUACCACCUUGACUGAGUCAGUGAAAAGAGAGGUCAUCUCUGUGCUUCUCUACCCGGUAUGACAACAGGACUCUAGAGCACCACUUUGAUGUGAUUUAUAGCUUCUUCUCAUCAUUCUUGCAAAAUUGGCUGCCAAGUUUUUCUACUAUUUUUCUGAACAGAAUAUACACGUGAAUUCCAUUAUUUUGGGAAGUUACUAUCAGAUGAGGAAGCCAAAGGGUGAUGUUGGACUUGAGCUUGGACUGAUGCAAGUGAAGUGAACUGAACCAGCUUGAAGAUUUUAAGAUCAAAGCCUGUGCAAGUGCAGAGAUGUUGUCUUCAAAAGUCAGCACUCACAGCUGGGGAAAGGACUAGCCAGACCAUAAUGGUCUGUUGUCAGCCUAAUAAAAAUACAACAGAGGGUUGGGAAAGAUCCCUGCACAUUUCUCAGUUGUCUGGGAAACAACAGGCAGUCUGUCAGCACAGAGAAGGGGUGGUAGAAAGAAAUGAAGAAGACUGUACCCUAAUGAGCUGAGAGAUAAACUGGAUUCUAAAUUGAAGUGAUCCAGUUGUUGAAAUUUCUGUACUAGUACUCCUUACCCUGUCAAUAAAUCUGGUUUUAAAAAGGG